ACCAUGCAGUCGACGAUGAUCCCAGCUUGCUGGGGGAUUAGUGGCGAACGGGUGAGUAACACGUGAGUAACCUGCCCUUGACUCUGGGAUAAGCCUGGGAAACUGGGUCUAAUACCGGAUAUGACUCCUCAUCGCAUGGUGGGGGGUGGAAAGCUUUUGUGGUUUUGGAUGGACUCGCGGCCUAUCAGCUUGUUGGUGGGGUAAUGGCCUACCAAGGCGACAACGGGUAGCCGGCCUGAAAGGGUGACCGGCCACACUGGGACUGAAACACGGCCCAAACUCCUACGGGAGGCAGCAGUGGGGAAUAUUGCACAAUGGGCGCAAGCCUGAUGCACCGACGCCGCGUGAGGGAUGACGGCCUUCGGGUUGUAAACCUCUUUCAGUAGGGAAGAAGCGAAAGUGACGGUACCUGCAGAAGAAGCGCCGGCUAACUACGUGCCAGCAGCCGCGGUAAUACGUAGGGCGCAAGCGUUAUCCGGAAUUAUUGGGCGUAAAGAGCUCGUAUGCGGUUUGUCGCGUCUGCUGUGAAAGACCGGGGCUCAACUCCGGUUCUGCAGUGGGUACGGGCAGACUAGAGUGCAGUAUGGGAGACUGGAAUUCCUGGUGUAGCGGGUGAAAUGCGCAGAUAUCAGAGGAACACCGAUGGCGAAAGCAGGUCUCUGGGCUGUAACUGACGCUGAGAGCGAAAGCAUGGGGAGCGAACAGAUUAGAUACCCUGGUAGUCCAUGCCGUAAACGUGGGCACUAGGUG
rnacentral:rRNA from 1 species